rnacentral:lncRNA from 1 species
UAUGCAUAAAGGAUUCUAUUUACGCAUUAUUUCUUUGGGAGUCAAAGAGUACGUUCUCUUUGAGAAGAGCAACUCCUUAGUCUUACUAGAGUUGUCCAUUUGAUUGAAGUUCAUCAUCAUAUGAGAAACUUCCUAUCAUCUUUUUUCUAUAUUUAGGGCUUGAUAUAAUCCAAUUAUAUCCUAAAAUCUAUCAAUAUAGAUUUCCAUCCCAUAUAUAUAUACUAUGUCUCCCAUAUACAUUCUAUCUUCAUAUAAUGUUUUAAAGUCAUAACUUUAACGAAGAAGUAUUCUUUUCAUUUCCAAAAUUAAUAUAUCAUAUAUAUAUUUAAAAUUUUAGGAACAUGAUUAACUUCCAUAUACAUUCUAUCUUCAUAUAAUGUAUUAAAGUCAUAACUUUAGUGGAGAAGUAUUCUUUUCAUUUCCAAAAUUAAUAUAUCAUAUAUAUAUUUUAAAUUUUAGGAACAUUAUUAACUCCCACUAAUCUUUUGUAAACCUAGUAAACAAAAGAUUCAUUUACAUCUUUAUGAGAAAUCAAACGAUUUGGCAAUCCCUCCUAAUCCCCGGCCUAGAACGAUCCCUACUUACAUACUUGCUACAAUUGAUAAAAAGAGGGUUUAAUUUGUGUGCUUAUAGAUUUCGCAUCAGGAAUCAAGGUCUCAUCAAGAUCUGAACUCAUAUGAGAGACUGAACCACAUGAUUGAGAAUCAUGUAUAAUGGUGACGUUGUUAUUCUCAAGGUUGCUUCUAUAGAUAACAUAUAGAUAUCCAUUACCUAGGCCUACUACUCAGCCAUUUUUGAAAUGACUACAGAAGAGGUAUCAUCACUGAUAACCAAGUUGAUUGGCUCUAGUGCAAGUGGGAGAUUGUUGGAAAUGUGCCCUAAAACCAAUCAUAUGAUGAUACUUUACGGACAUUUCACAUGUUAAACUAGUCUAGUUUAAUAUCAAGGGCAAAGAUUAUUGUUUAAGCCGUCUUAUAUAAAUGUUAUAUGCUUAAACGAUAAGUCCAAGGAAUAUGUAAUUAGGAGAAUAUGAUUUAAACAAGUUAGAUUAAUGAGACCAUUCUCUUGUAUACAUAUCCUAAACGUUCCUGAUCUUAAGAUUGCUAAUUGGGCAUUGACAGUCCGUUAAGAUCAGUACAUGAUGUGUCUUCUCUCAGGGAGAGUGACUAGUCUCUAGUCAUUGGUGUGUGUGACAUCAAGACAAGCAUGUAGGUGCUCAAUAACGAAUGAGUCCACUGAACACGAU